UUGACAUUUGUAGUACGAGAUAAAUAUUAAUUUUUAAGCAGUUGUUAAUGAAUGGAUUAUUCAAAAUAAAUUUUGUAAUAACUCAUGUUAAUGCAAUUACAUUAAUAGGCAAUUCGUUAGAAAUACAUUUUGUAAAGUAGUGGUUAGUCGUACGCUAGGGCCACUUUUUCCCUUCUGAUAGAAUCCGUUGAAUGAUUUUGCGUAACAAUUUACCAAUAGUUAUAGAGGUAUGUGCAUUAUGUUAUUGAAACCAUCUCUGACAAGUGCUGUCAUGUAUUGGGCAUUUAUUUUAAAUAUUGCAGAAUCCACAGUAUAUUUCAAAUAAUCAUAUAGUCAUUUUUUAUGAGAUUAAGGCCGUACCAAAGCCAUUAUCACAACAUUAGUCUGGAACAUGUACGCUUGUGAUUUUAUGCAACACAGAACAGCAUUGUCAUAGUACAGAAAUGCAAGAGACUCCUCAAAAAUCGUGUGGGUGAAGUAAGAGGAUACAGCAUCCUUGAGGAAGGUGUGGGAGGCAUUGUAUGAUAAUGAAAUUGAGCAGUGACAUUUAUUUUUGUAUUAGUUUUUAACUUGAGCACAAGAUACAUUGCUCGAGCAGUGAUGAUUUCAUAUUCUGUUUAAAAGGAUUUAAUAUACUGCAAAGGCUAUAUUAUAUAUCAGAUCUUCUUUUCUGUCUAUUUUUGUUAUACAAGUGCUAGAUACAUAUUUAACUAUGCUGAUUGUGUUGUAGCGGUUAUAUUAUUAACGGCUAUAAUGAACUGAUCUCCUCCAAAACACUCUCGUUUUGCCUGAUAUUGUUAAUUUAUAAAAUAGAGUUUUGAUCAUUAUCAUAAAAGGACCUGUUAUUGAUGAGAACUAACAUAGGUGCAUGAGCAUUUCACUUAAUUCUAUUUUCUGUUUUCUGACCCGUAUUCUCGCUCAUUUUGAAAAUACCAGAAUAAUUACACAGUCACAGCACACAAAAGGAAAGUCACACACAAAUCAGUUUUGGGGCAUUGGAAGCCACUAAUAAUUUAAGUAUUAAGUGACAAACUAGAAAAAUUGACUGAAUAACUGGAAGUUUUGUACCAGUGCUUCAUGUGUUAGAAAUAAUCCCUUCUCUUUGGCUUGCAUUGCGUCCUUGAAUAAUUUAUCUCGAGUACAUUUCAUGCACUUAUCAGUUUUUGAAUGUGUUCGGUUCUCACUCAUUCUUGUCAUCUCACUGCCUUGCUGACUGCUUUCAAAUUGUCAUUUGUUACACGGUCACUUGCCCUUCAACAGCAAAUUCUUGAGCAUUAUUCUUCUCAUAUUUCAUAUUGUUUGUGUUUGAUUUCUCAGAUUAAUUAUUUUGUGGCUGUGGUUCACUUGUAUGUUAUUUCUUACAUUACUAUUCACUUGUAGAUUAUAACUCCCAUAUCUCCCCAAAAAAUUAAUCAGGGUGAUUUGAACUUUAGCUUGGUUCUCAGUUAGUCUUACUGUCAUAAGAAUGUAAUCCUGUUUAUGUGAUAUCUAUUGCUUUGAGAGUCUGAUUUGUUUUACCUGUUUCGUCACUUCCUAUUGCAGGCUUUCAGUGUGUUUGACUUUUUCAUUUUAAGAUAUAUGUUGUAACUUCUAUGAUGAAAUGCCUUGUUAUUGCAUUUGUUAGUUACCUAAUAACAUUAGUAUCUGUUACUGAUUGAAUACAAGUUAUACCAGACACAUCUGACAUUUAGUUUCAGUUUGUUUCAUCUUUACUGAGUGUUAUUCCACUGCUAAAAUUUUCUUUGGUAUCUCACCUUCCCAAUCUACUUCAAGGAAGAUCCAGUUCAUGUUAGAAGUAAAGUUAAGCACAUAAAGUAAUAACUGCACAUGCUACAUUGAAACAUGUUAAUAUGACAUUAACCUAGGUUUGAAUUGUGGAAAAGUAUGAAAUUAUUUAUGUAUUAUUUAUAAUACAGAGAAAACACUUGACCAUGUGUGCUCAAUGUGGUAUCUUCAUUUCGUAUGUUAAUAUAAAUGAACAAGAAGAAUAAUUGCAAUCUUUUUAGCAUGCCCAUCAUAUGUGGAAGAAUUUGAAACUUUUUAAUCUCUGCAGAGAGUUCCCAUAAUAGACUAUGUGAACUGUAGGACAUACCUUUUUUGCACAAGGGAGUUAUGGUCAUCUGCACUGUUAUUUCACUUACUUUAAGAAAGUUAAUAUGUACCUGAAUGGUAAAAUAUAGCUCUUAUUAAAUGUA